AGUGGAUGGGGAGCAACCUAGUUGUGCGUGUGUAAAGGUAGUGCCAAGAAAAGCGAUGAUCAUGUUGAAAAUCAAUUCCCGGUACCCGAAACCGACACAGGUGGGCAAGUAGAGAAUACUAAGGGGCGCGAGGUAACUCUCUCCAAGGAACUCGGCAAAAUGACCCCGUAACUUAGGGAGAAGGGGUGCCACCGAGAGGUGGUCGCAGUGAAGAGGCCCAGGCGACUGUUUAGCAAAAACAUAGGUCUCUGCAAACUCGAAAGAGGAGGUAUAGGGGCUGACGCCUGCCCAGUGCCGGAAGGUUAAAGAAGUUGGUCAGUUUUAGGAUGAAGCUAGCGACUGAAGCCCCGGUGAACGGCGGCCGUAACUAUAACGGUCCUAAGGUAGCGAAAUUCCUUGUCGGGUAAGUUCCGACCCGCACGAAAGGCGUAACGAUCUGGGCGCUGUCUCGGAGAGAGGCUCGGCGAAAUAGGAUUGUCUGUGAAGAUACGGACUACCUGCAUUUGGACAGAAAGACCCUAUGAAGCUUUACUAUAGCUUGGAAUUGUGUUCGGGCUUCCUGUGCGCAGGAUAGGUGGGAGGCGAAGAAGGUAUUCUUGUGGGGAUACUGGAGCCAACGGUGAGAUACCACUCUCAGGAGGCUAGAAUUCUAACUUAAUUAAGGACAGUUUCAGGUGGGUAGUUUGACUGGGGCGGUCGCCUCCAAAAAGGUAACGGAGGCGUACAAAGGUUCCCUCAGACUGGUUGGAAAUCAGUCGCAGAGUGCAAAGGCAGAAGGGAGCUUGACUGCGAGAAGUACAGUUCGAGCAGGGUGGAAACACGGUCUUAGUGAUCCGACGGUGCUGUGUGGAAGGGCCGUCGUUCAACGGAUAAAAGUUACUCUAGGAUAACAGGCUGAUCUCCCCCAAGAGUUCACAUCGACGGGGAGGUUUGGCACCUCGAUGUCGGCUCAUCGCAACCUGGGGCGGAAGUACGUCCCAAGGGUUGGGCUGUUCGCCCAUUAAAGCGGUACGUGAGCUGGGUUCAGAACGUCGUGAGACAGUUCGGUCCAUAUCCGAUGUAGGCGUGAGAAUAUUGAGAGGAGCCUUCCUUAGUACGAGAGGACCGGGAAGGACGCACCGCUGGUGUACCUGUUAUGAUGCCAAUUGUAAACGCAGGGUAGCCAAGUGCGGAGAGGAUAACCGCUGAAAGCAUCUAAGUGGGAAGCCCACCUCAAGAUGAGUAUUCUGGUGUAAGGUCACGGGAAGACGACCCGUAAAUAGGCACGAGGUGGAAGUGCAGAGAUGUAUGAAGCCGAAGUGUACUAAUAGACCGUCGGCUUGACC
rnacentral:rRNA from 1 species